rfam:Triticum urartu cultivar G1812 contig82216, whole genome shotgun sequence.
AUGAUACUCCCUUCGUUCCAAAUUACUUGUCGCGGAAAUGGAUGUAUCCAGAACUAAAAUACAUCUAAAUACAUUCAUACCAGCGACAAGUAAUUCGGAACAGAGGGAGUACCUC